rnacentral:rRNA from 1 species
UACGUAGGUGGCAAGCGUUGUCCGGAAUUAUUGGGCGUAAAGCGCGCGCAGGUGGUUUCUUAAGUCUGAUGUGAAAGCCCCCGGCUCAACCGGGGAGGGUCAUUGGAAACUGGGAAACUUGAGUGCAGAAGAGGAUAGUGGAAUUCCAAGUGUAGCGGUGAAAUGCGUAGAGAUUUGGAGGAACACCAGUGGCGAAGGCGACUGUCUGGUCUGUAACUGACACUGAGGCGCGAAAGCGUGGGGAGCAAACAGG